UACAGAGGGUGCAAGCGUUAAUCGGAAUUACUGGGCGUAAAGGGUGCGUAGGUGGUUACAUAAGUUAGGUGUGAAAGUCCUGGGCUUAACCUGGGGAUUGCGCCUGAUACUGUGUAGCUAGAGUCCUGUAGAGGAAAGUGGAAUUUCCGGUGUAGCGGUGAAAUGCGUAGAUAUCGGAAGGAACAUCGGUGGCGAAGGCGACUUUCUGGACAGAGACUGACACUGAGGCACGAAAGCAUGGGGAGCAAACAGG
rnacentral:rRNA from 1 species